CACGCCGCGUGAGUGAUGAAGGUUUUCGGAUCGUAAAGCUCUGUUGUUAGGGAAGAACAAGUACCGUUCGAAUAGGGCGGCACCUUGACGGUACCUAACCAGAAAGCCACGGCUAACUACGUGCCAGCAGCCGCGGUAAUACGUAGGUGGCAAGCGUUGUCCGGAAUUAUUGGGCGUAAAGGGCUCGCAGGCGGUUUCUUAAGUCUGAUGUGAAAGCCCCCGGCUCAACCGGGGAGGGUCAUUGGAAACUGGGGAACUUGAGUGCAGAAGAGGAGAGUGGAAUUCCACGUGUAGCGGUGAAAUGCGUAGAGAUGUGGAGGAACACCAGUGGCGAAGGCGACUCUCUGGUCUGUAACUGACGCUGAGGAGCGAAAGCGUGGGGAGCGAACAGGAUUAGAUACCCUGGUAGUCCACGCCGUAAACGAUGAGUGCUAAGUGUUAGGGGGUUU
rnacentral:rRNA from 1 species